rnacentral:rRNA from 1 species
UACGUAGGGUGCAAGCGUUGUCCGGAAUUAUUGGGCGUAAAGAGCUCGUAGGCGGUUUGUCGCGUCUGCUGUGAAAACCCGAGGCCCAACCUCGGGCCUGCAGUGGGUACGGGCAGACUAGAGUGCGGUAGGGGAGAUUGGAAUUCCUGGUGUAGCGGUGGAAUGCGCAGAUAUCAGGAGGAACACCGAUGGCGAAGGCAGAUCUCUGGGCCGUAACUGACGCUGAGGAGCGAAAGCAUGGGUAGCGAACAGG